AUGAGGCUUUCGGAGGCCAUCAUGGAGGAUGGGCAAGAAGAACGUUUUUGUCGCUGGCUCCUAAAACGCUGUUGCUGUUCUCACGGUGAGCAGCCACCUCCAGAGCCCUCCCGCCUGCAGGUCUCACCUCACCAUCCUCUGCCCCUUCUCAGACCGCUCCAAACCACCAGCAGCCACGGCGACCUGCCAGGCCUCCACUCCCGGCCUCCUCAGGGCUUCAGGGCCAGCCUGUCGUGUCACCUGCUGCCCGAGUCCCUCAGGACCCGAGCCACCAGCUCACCCCCGCUUAGGCCGUGCAGCACCUUGUGGGGGGUGGCGGCUGGAAGGGCAGGAGCCCCCCCCACACACAGCACACACACAGCCCGGCGCUCUCGGCUCCCAUCCCCUUCUCAGCGCCCGAGCCCCGGCUCCGCGGCGGCCGUUUCCAAGAGGCAGCGUGAGGGCUGGGUGUGCAGGCUUUCCCCAGCCAUGUUGCAGCAGCGCCCAGCGGCUCUGGCAGGCAGCGCUGCAAUAGCAGGCGGCUGCAGGAGCCGCCCGGCAGAGGGGCUCCGGUGGCAAAGGUCUGCUGGGUCCUUCGGAGGUAAAUGGAAAAAAAAAAAAACACAGCUGGACACAGCUGGAUGCUUCCUCACAGGGCCCCGCUGGUCCCAGGGCUCAGGGGAUGACAAGCACUCGGCCACGGCUCCACUGCUCCUCCCCACCUCCAAAAUCUCACCACGUAACCACCUGGUACUGGUCCCCCCUCACCCAGCUCCCCCACAACGCCACCGCAGCAACCCCGAGCGUAAAUCGAUGGCUGUAAAGAUGUCAGAGCCGCCAGGGGCACCCAGCCUGCCCCGCGUGGCAAGCAGACGACGCUCCCUUACCCACCAAGCCCCCUUACCCGCCGAGCGCAUCCCGUCCCAGAGCUGCUCGCGGGAGGCACCGGCGGGUCCAAACCCCCCGGUCCCUGCAGGUUGGCACCUGCGGCCAUGCCUGGCCUGGCCCUCGCCAUCGCACGUCCCCGCCGGGCACCGGAGGAGAGGUGUCGCACCCCCCCUCCCCAUCCCAAAUCGAUGGGAGCGCUUGGUGUAG
rnacentral:lncRNA from 1 species